UACGUAGGGUGCGAGCGUUAAUCGGAAUUACUGGGCGUAAAGCGUGCGCAGGCGGUUUUGUAAGUCUGUUGUGAAAGCCCCGGGCUCAACCUGGGAAUUGCGAUGGAGACUGCAAGGCUUGAAUCUGGCAGAGGGGGGUAGAAUUCCACGUGUAGCAGUGAAAUGCGUAGAGAUGUGGAGGAACACCGAUGGCGAAGGCAGCCCCCUGGGUCAAGAUUGACGCUCAUGCACGAAAGCGUGGGGAGCAAACAGG
rnacentral:rRNA from 1 species